AGAAUAUCUAUGUUUUAUAGCUUUUUAAUUAUACCACAGGUUUUUCUUCCUAGGUUGCUUUAAGGAAUUCUUAUUAAAGUUUACAAAAAUUUCUUAUCAACUAAAUUUAUUAACUACUUCUUGAAUUCCUAUUUAUACACAUACGGACAUUUCUUUUUGCUAGGUAUUGGCCAAAACUAACAAGCUCAGAUUCCAUUUAUAAAUAUCAGAGACAUGUAGAUAAAACUGUAUGGAUGCCCUUGGCAUUUUUUGAAAGCCUAGUUUAGGACCUCUUAAAUCUUUCUAAUUUAUUUUGAAUAACAAUCAGGGAUCAUAAAUAAGAAUUACUUUUUCUCAAAAUGGUAAAUACUUUAUUUUGAUUAUAAAAGUAAUAGGUAACUAUUUUCAAGAUAUGAAAAAAAAAUCAAGGGUGCAAGGAAGAAAUUAGACAAUCACCAGUAAUUCUAUAACGUGGUGAUAAUUGUAUUUUUAGCAUAUGUCAUAUACUGUGACAAAUAAUGCAGCAAUGUUUUGGAUAUUUUGUAAGUCAGUGAAUAUUUCUGCAUUAUCAGUUAAAGAUUAUUCCACUACACUAUUGUAUAAAUAAUUUAAAAAAUCUAUUGUUAGCAUUGAAUUACUUAUAUUUCUUUAUAUUGUAAACAACACUAACAAGUGUUACGUGAGCUAUUUUGUAAACUUUUCUGGUUAUUGUCUUGGAAGAUUUCCUGGGAGUGACAUUUCUAAUGAUUGUUACUUAAUUCUCUCUCUCUCUUUCCAUCCAAGAGAGGUUUGUUUGUUUAUUUAUUUAUUUAUUUAUUUAUUUAUUUAUUUAUUUAUUUAAUUUUUUUUUUUAAAUUUUUUUUAGUUCUUUGUUUAAAGACAUUUAUUUUAGCAGGGACAGGGGGAGGAAUAGAGGGAUAGAAUCUUCAAGCAGAGUCACUGCUGAUUGCAGAACCCAAUAAAGGGGGUUCAGUCUCAUGACCCUGAGAUCAUGACUUGAGCCAAAACUACAAAUAGGAUGCUUGACCAACUGAGCCACCCAGGGGCCCCUGAUUUUUUAUUUUUUUUUUUUAAUAUUUUAGAUAUAUUUUGUCAAAUUGCCCUCCAGAAAGAUUGCACCAUUUUUUACUCUGUCUAUAAAGGAGUACAUUUUCUUUGACUGCCUUCUGCCAUAAAACAAGUCAACUGAACAAAAUAUCUAAAACAAUUGGUAACAAACAUUGGACAACAGAAAGCCCAGGACUGUGAUCCUAAGAAAAGGAAAUAAAACAAAAUGAACCUCACAAUAGCCCUGGUUUUAUACACAGAUGAAUAUGGGUAUAAAUUGUUCUCAAAAUGAUAAAGGAAGAGCCCACGUAUAUCCUGAGUUGAAGAGCUGGAGAUUGAACUUUGAAAGAAUGAGCCACAGCUGUAGGUGGAGGUAAGAGGUGCUGCACAAAGAAAGAGCUCCAGACAUCUGCAGAAGAACACUUUGAAGUCUGUAACUGAAUAUCAAUCAGUUCAAAGGGUGAAACACCAUGAUAUUGAACAAAGAACAGGUACUAGAAAAAUAAAAAUACCAGAGAGUUCUAAAUUGGAUAAUUUCCCGAGUUCACUCAAGCUAGGAAUCCUUCAUAUUCUUACCAAUAAGACUGGAUAGACCUGAUGACUGUACAAGGCAUCUAGGAGAGCUCUAGAAAAUGCCACACAUUCUAUUUGAAUGACUAAACUAGCUCUAGAGUAAACACUACUCUAGGCCUCCCGUAAAAAGAAAAACUAUAAGAAAAAUUAAAAACAAUCAGGCUGAUCUAAGAAUAAAUUAAUAGCCUUUAAGUGCUGUUACUAGUGGAGACAAGCAUUGUUCUCAGAAUUUAAUAUAAUUAAUUCAAUGAUAAAAAUCAGAUGUUCCACAAAAAAAUAAAAUAAAAUAAACACAAUUCUUUAACUUCAGCUGGAUGUUUGCUCUACUUAAUUUGGUCAAGCAAAGUGUUCAACUGGAACAAAAAUAAUGUGUACAAAGUGCUAGAAAUAAAACUAAAGAUAUAUCUUCAUAUAUCUUUUACAUAAAAA
rnacentral:lncRNA from 1 species